rnacentral:rRNA from 1 species
UACAUCGGAACGUGCCCAAUCGUGGGGGAUAACGUAGCGAAAGCUACGCUAAUACCGCAUACGAUCUACGGAUGAAAGCGGGGGAUCGCAAGACCUCGCGCGAAUGGAGCGGCCGAUGGCAGAUUAGGUAGUUGGUGGGGUAAAGGCUCACCAAGCCUUCGAUCUGUAGCUGGUCUGAGAGGACGACCAGCCACACUGGGACUGAGACACGGCCCAG